GCUGAGUGUGGUGGUGCACGCCUGUAAUCCCAGUGGCUCAGGAGGCUGAGGCAGGAGGAUCGUGAGUUCAAACCAGCCUCAGCAAAAGUGAGGUGCUAAGCAACUCAGUGAGACCCUGUCUCAG
rnacentral:sRNA from 1 species